rnacentral:snoRNA from 1 species
CGAGUAUCCAGACCCAAGAGCUGCUGCUCCACACAGCGGCAGCUUGAACAGUGGUGUUGACAAGCAAGUGGAUCUCGUCACCUUUGGGGGAUUGAAUGCAGUCACCCUAAAGUGUAGUCAGAGAGAGGUUCUACACCA